GGCGCGAGCGUUGUCCGGAUUUAUUGGGCGUAAAGAGCUCGUAGGCGGUCUGUCGCGUCGGCUGUGAAAACCCGGAGCUCAACUCCGGGCCUGCAGUCGAUACGGGCAGACUGGAGUUCGGCAGGGGAGACUGGAAUUCCUGGUGUAGCGGUGAAAUGCGCAGAUAUCAGGAGGAACACCGGUGGCGAAGGCGGGACUCUGGGCCGAUACUGACGCUGAGGAGCGAAAGCGUGGGGAGCAAACAGG
rnacentral:rRNA from 1 species